AUACCGGAUAGAGCAUCGAUCGCUGGAAUGCAUGAUGCUCGAAAACUGAGGCGCCAAAGGAUAGGUCUGCGGCCGAUUAGGUUGUUGUUGAUGUAACGGAUCAACAAGCCUCCGAUCGGUAUGGGUUGUGAGAGCAAUAGCCCAGAGAUGGGUUCUGAGAGAAGAACCCAGGUCCUACGGGACGCAUCAGGCGCGAAAACUUUACAAUGUGCGAAAGCACGAUAAGGGAACUCUGAGUGCCUCCUAAGGAGGCUGUUCAGGUGUCUAAAAAGCAUCUGAAGGAAGGGCUGGGUAAGACCGGUGCCAGCCGCCGCGGUAACACCGGCAGCCCAAGUGGUGGCCACUUUUACUGGGUCUAAAGCGUUCGUAGCCGGCCAGGUAAGUUCCUUGGGAAAUUUGACCGCUUAACGGUCAAGCUUUCAGGGAAUACUGCGUGGCUUGAGACCGGGAGAGGUCAGAGGUACCUCAAGGGUAGGGGUGAAAUCCGUUAAUCCUUGGGGGACCACCAGUAGCGAAGGCGUCUGACCAGAGCGGAUCCGACGGUCAGGAACGAAGGCUAGGGUAGCGAACCGGAUUAGAUACCCGGGUAGUCCUAGCAGUAAACGAUGCGGGCUAGG
rnacentral:rRNA from 1 species